GCCAGGCGUGGUGGUGCAUGCCUGUAAUUCCAGCUACUCAGGAGGCUGAGGCAGGAGACUUGCUUCAACCCAGGAGAUGGAGGUUGCAGUGAGCCAAGAUCGGGCCACUGCACUCCAACCUGGGUGACAAAGCAAGACUCCGUCUCAA
ensembl:misc_RNA Metazoa_SRP Metazoan signal recognition particle RNA